rnacentral:rRNA from 1 species
UACGUAGGGGGCAAGCGUUGUCCGGAAUCAUUGGGCGUAAAGCGCGUGUAGGCGGCUGAGCAAGUCCGCUCUGAAAGCCCGAGGCUCAACCUCGGGAGGCGAGUGGAUACUGCUCAGCUCGAGUCCGGAAGAGGAGUGUGGAAUUCCUGGUGUAGCGGUGAAAUGCGCAGAUAUCGGGAAGAACACCCGUGGCUAAGGCGGCUCUCUAGUACGGUACUGACGCUGAGACGCGAAAGCGUGGGGAGCGAACAGG